CUACAAUCUUGCACAACCUGAUCUCAAGGGGUAGCUGUCUUGGAACAAGCUGUUGACGUCUACACCACUGAGUUUGAAAGGUUUAUUAGGUUUAUCAGUGAGGUUUUUGCGAAUUCGCCCUUCUUUAUUUCAGCAGAGGUUGCCGGUGCAUUAGAUGGAGGGAAUAAUGAUGAUUACAAAGAGACAACUGUUCCUGCCGGUAAAACACAUGAGGUUUCUCUGUCUGUGGACUCGAAAAAUUCAUAUAUUUCUUGGGACUUUUCGCUUGUGCAAGGGAAGAUAAACUUGGUUCUGGACUGGAUU